rnacentral:lncRNA from 1 species
UAACGACGUGGCUGCUAAUUCACCCUUGAGGAGGUUUGUAACUGAAUCUUUGGGCACUGCUUCUUGACCUUCUCCGUGCGCUGGUUCCAGGCGGAGACUUGAGCUCCUCUCAGACAAGAGAUUUGGGAUUAGGGCUGCCUGAAAGCAAGCAGGAAGAGAUUCCGUGCGGCGGAGGGGAUUUAAUCACCGAGAUAAUGCUGCGAUUCGAUGGCGAGUUUUUCAAUUGCGGGACCUCUGGAGAGUUUUCUUUAUCUGGAUGAAGUACGGACAAUUUGACAAAUCUGUUCCUCCGAGCAGUCGCUCGCUUUUGCAUAUUCAUUACUCCUCGGAUUUUUAAUCAAAGUCGCGGACGGACCCUCUGCACCGCGAAGACGGCGCUCAUGCAUUAUGGAUGGUGUUGCGCUGGUGGCUGCG